AAGAGAGGCGGUAGAUAGCAGCGGCCAUUUAGCGGUGGUUGGUCGAGCCGCUGCUAUCUCCUAAUUUUGUGGCAGCUGUAGCGGCAAAUCUAGUGAACGCUGGCAAUCUAUUUGAAAUACCCCCUGCCGCUCUGUCCCUCAGUCUCGUUAUUUUUUCUUUCUCAAGACAAACCAAACUUAACCCUAACCCAUCUCUCAUCCUCAAACCUUCAGAUCCUACCAAACUCAGGUUUUCCGUCAAAACCACAAAACCACCACCGUCAUCUUCUUCUUCUUCUUCUUCUUCUUCUUCUUCUUCUUCCACCUUCGCCGAACAACCAUCGCAAAAACCCUUUCUCUCUUUCUCUUCCCCUGUCUUUUGCCUUCUCUGUCUCGCCGCCGGCUACCAUCCAGUGCCACCGCGACCAUCUUCUUCCCCUCCUCACAACCUUGCACUGUGGCUCUCUAGCUCGCCCCUGCCUCCCUCAUUCCCAGUCACAGAAUCAGAAUAUAGCCACUCUAGUUCCAGCGAGUUCAGACGCAGCAGCGGCUGGUCACUGCCACUGCACCCUUCUCUCCUGAGUUCUUGCUCUAUUCUUUGACUCAGAGCUAUGAUGAUAAAGGGUCUGUCAUAGAUGUUGUUGUUUGGCAUGAUGGAGAGGUCUAGAAGGUUGCUCUUGACACACAAAGUAUUGAGGAUGAUCCAGAAUGUGGGAAGCUUGCUAACUUUGUACCCUUAACUAAUUACAGGUUAUUGUUUUCCAUGGAGAUUGUGACAACUGCAGCUGAACUUGGGAUAAAGCUAAACACUACCAUAGUUGAAGAAUCUGAACAAAUGAAAACAAAACUGGUUUACAAUCCAGAGCUGAAUUUUUUGUGGACCAGGACAUGGAAUUAGCAUUAGAAGCCUUGGGGAAGACAAUUCAACUAGCAUAAUGAAGAAAGUGAUUUUAGAUACAGCAAUUAUUAAGGAUACUACUAAUGGUGUCAGGAUUAAGACUUAGCAGGUUUGGCGGUGGUUCCAGAAAUUAUGUGAAGAGAUGAGUCAUGACCCAUAAUGAUCUUAUUGGUCAUUAUAUCAAGUAAAUUUUCUGUACUUUUUAAUCAAUUGAACCAUGUUUCAUUCUUACAUUAUUAAGUAGUAGUGCAUUGUUUGUUAAGUUUUAAUUUAAUUUAUAUAUUAUAUUUUUUCUAAGAUAGAGCAGUAUUUUACCCUUAGAAAGGAUAUACACCAGACUAGAGAUCUUGUGGAGAUCACUUAGGUUAUUUUGGGCUACUCUUGUUAUUGAAUCUUCAGGAGUUUUCAUAAAAGUAGAGAAGGUUUCAUCACAUUUAAAGGUUAAUAUUUUUACUUACCUUUGUAUUUCACUUUGCUAGCUUGAAAUAUUUAUAGUUUGACUUUAUUUUAUUAUUCUGUAGGCUAGUGCCAAGAAAAUAAAAUAAUAUCAGCUCUAUUUUUAA